GGGUUGUGACUCAGCGGUAGAGUGCUUGCCUACCACGGGUGAGGCCCUGGGUUCGGUCCUCAGCACUUA
rnacentral:tRNA from 1 species